GUCUAUGUCAUUGUCUAUUUUUAGAUCCCUUGAUGAUGACAUUGAUGGCUGAUCCCGUGAUCCUACCGACCAGCGGUAAGGUGAUGGACCGACCAGUGAUCACAAGGCAUUUAUUAAACUCAUCUACAGAUCCAUUUAAUAGAGAACCGCUGAACCAAGAGAUGCUUGUCCCGGCGACAGACGUCAAGAAUAGAAUCGACGAAUGGAUCAAGGCCAAAAAAAUCAGCAAAUCAUCCAGAUAAAUGAAAUGGUGUUAUUUUUAUUUGUUUAUUCCCUGGUAAAAAGAUUAUAAUUAUAACUAAAUAAAUUCUUUGGUUUAGAUGGAUUGCAGGAGAACUUCAUGAUCGUGAGGUUUAGUGAUUGCAGAGAAAAAACUGAGAACCCGUCUAAGAAAAUCCUUUACCAGAAGUUGGAAUUAACCUCUUCUCGAUUUUUCUUCCGAAGCGGAAAGCCAAACGGUAUACGGUAAACAAGCGGUUUUCCGCUUCGGUCUGACGGCCUCAAAAUGAACAGAUCUUGUAAAUAUACAGCGAAAAAGUGUAAAUUCCAAUAUAUUGCGAAUGGAUAUUC